CAUAAUAAGUGUUUUAUGGCACUUUUUUAAAUCCAUAUCCACCUUUGUGUGCAAUGUCAGUCGAUCUUCUUCAUGGAGAAUCGACCCAAACAUCAACCUUUAUCUUUUAACUCUUUGUCUGAAAGAUAUUAUGAAUAAACAAUUCCAAAAUA
rnacentral:misc_RNA from 1 species